CAGUUAUCGUUUAUUUGAUAGUACCUUUCUACUUGGAUACCUGUGGUAAUUCUAGAGCUAAUACAUGCUAAAAACCUCGACUUCGGAAGGGGUGUAUUUAUUAGAUAAAAAACCAAUGCCCUUCGGGGCUCCUUGGUGAUUCAUAAUAACUUAACGAAUCGCAUGGCCUUGCGCCGGCGAUGGUUCAUUCAAAUUUCUGCCCUAUCAACUUUCGAUGGUAGGAUAGUGGCCUACCAUGGUUUCUACGGGUAACGGGGAAUUAGGGUUCGACUCCGGAGAGGGAGCCUGAGAAACGGCUACCACAUCCAAGGAAGGCAGCACGCGCGCAAAUUACCCAAUCCCGACACGGGGAGGUAGUGACAAUAAAUACUGAUACAGGGCUCUUUUGGGUCUUGUAAUUGGAAUGAGUACAAUUUAAAUCCCUUUAUCGUUAGGGGAUAGUAGUAGUCACGAAUCAUGUGGCCACGCCCUUCUCUUCCGGGAAGUCUUGAUAAUAUCAUGGCAAUCCGGAGCCGCGUAUUUAUAAGUGGUCAAGAGACUAAACAGGGGUGGGUGGGUUGAAUACUCAUUUAUGGUAUAGUCCAAUCUAUUAACUUUCGCUAGUGGUAAAAAUGUAACGAGGAACAAUUGGAGGGCAAGUCUGGUGAAUGUAACGUUCCAGCGUUCAGAUACACAGUAUCUACUGCUGACGCCAGUCGAAAGUUCGGAUCUCUGGGGUUGCUGCUUGCGGCCUCGAGUUCCACUCAGUGGGUGGUGUAGCCCCCGCGAGGUUCCCGGCACGGGGAAGGGUUCCUAGUGAGGGCCUUAUCCCGUGGCCGAUCGUCUUCGACUUUCGGCUUUAACGCGCGCAAGGGUACCGGUGGUCCCCAUAGAUCACUUGAGGUACGUGCUAAUCUCGCCCUAAACGGGCUCGUGGCGCCCACAUCGAAGCGUCACCCCGAGUAAAAAAUGGCCAGCAGCCGCGGUAAUUCCAGCUCCAAUAGCGUAUAUUAAAGUUGUUGCAGUUAAAAAGCUCGUAGUUGAAACUUGGCCUUGGCUGACCGGUCCGCCUCACCGCGUGCACUGGUUCGGCCGGGGCUUUCCUUCUGGGGAUCCGCAUGGCCUUCAUUGGUUGUGUUGGGGAACCAGGACUUUUACUUUGAAAAAAUUAGAGUGUUCAAAGCAGGCAUAUGCUCGAAUACAUUAGCAUGGAAUAAUAGAAUAGGACGUUGUGGUUCUAUUUUGUUGGUUUCUAGGACCGCCGUAAUGAUUAAUAGGGAUAGUCGGGGGCAUCAGUAUUCAAUUGUCAGAGGUGAAAUUCUNNNAUUUAUUGAAGACUAACUACUGCGAAAGCAUUUGCCAAGGAUGUUUUCAUUAAUCAGUGAACGAAAGUUAGGGGAUCGAAGACGAUCAGAUACCGUCGUAGUCUUAACCAUAAACUAUGCCGACUGGGGAUCGGACGGUGUUAUUAUUUUGACCCGUUCGGCACCCUACGAGAAAUCAAAGUCUUUGGGUUCUGGGGGGAGUAUGGUCGCAAGGCUGAAACUUAAAGACAUUGACGGAAGGGCACCACCAGGCGUAAAACACUUGCUGCAAGCUCUGCGCCUUUGAGCAGUGCCGCCCCCUAGAUAGGGGCUCGGCCGGUGAUAUCGUGUCCAGACGGCCCGCAUGGCCGCCGAAUACUGCCGUUAGCCCUGUUUACAGGGCGAUACACUCACAUUGCGGGGAGAUUCCGAGGCCCUCAGACACCUCCAUCGGCUGAAAGGUUUGAUGUAUGGUAACAGUUCUGCGAGGGCGUUNNNNNNNCGAUCCGCAGCCGUUUGCCUACCGGCGUUUUGCCCAUGGCCACUGGUUCAGAGAUUAGAUGGGUGUGGGGACCAGUAUUCCCUAAGCUUUAAUCCGUUGGGUGGCAUACGCCGCCCAAUUCUCUACGGGAGCCUGCGGCUUAAUUUGACUCAACACGGGGAAACUCACCAGGUCCAGACAUAAUAAGGAUUGACAGAUUGAGAGCUCUUUCUUGAUUUUAUGGGUGGUGGUGCAUGGCCGUUCUUAGUUGGUGGAGUGAUUUGUCUGCUUAAUUGCGAUAACGAACGAGACCUUAACCUGCUAAAUAGCCAGGUCAGCUUUGGCUGGCCGCCGGCUUCUUAGAGGGACUAUCGGCUCAAGCCGAUGGAAGUUUGAGGCAAUAACAGGUCUGUGAUGCCCUUAGAUGUUCUGGGCCGCACGGUACGUAAUUACUUUCUUUAUAUCCCUAUUCUUGAUGUCAUCUGCUAACGUUUUACAGCGCGCUACACUGACAGAGGCAACGAGUAAUCCACCUUGGCCGGAAGGCCUGGGUAAUCUUGUUAAACUCUGUCGUGCUGGGGAUAGAGCAUUGCAAUUAUUGCUCUUCAACGAGGAAUGCCUAGUAAGCGCAAGUCAUCAGCUUGCGUUGACUACGUCCCUGCCCUUUGUACACACCGCCCGUCGCUACUACCGAUUGAAUGGCUCAGUGAGGCCUUCGGACUGGCCUUAGGAGGUCGGCAACGACUACCCAGGGCCGGAAAGUUCGUCAAACUUGGUCAUUUAGAGGAAGUAAAAG
rnacentral:rRNA from 1 species